rnacentral:SRP_RNA from 15 species
ACCCUGUCGAAGGAGUGUGAUGCUUGGAUAUGUGGCUCCGGUUCGAAACCGCACAGUCACACCGGGUCUCUUUCAAAUGGAAGAGGUUUCACAAUGGUAUCCCAAACAGGCGUGAAAUGUCUCGUAGUGGUUAUAUGCCAUUACCCGCUUUUCGUGUCUGGCCGCCCGGUCUACGCGUUCAUUUAUUUGUGUAACUGCUUUGGACAGCUGGAUCUCGGUUCGGUUGUCACGUGGUCGACGUGUCCCACCGUUACAAAAUUGUUGCGGGUUAUCCUUUGUGGUGGCUCGGUCGCAUGAGAAGUCUGCGGUUCGAAGCCCAACUGGUAACGAUUUAGCAUUUCAACUAAUACUUGAAGCUAGUUUAGUGUUUAACGUUGUAGGGGAGUCUCAUCCAGCACAACGAACACUGCCCGUGACGAGGUGGUGUGGAUUGCACGUCCCGUGGUUAAGCAGUGCGUGUGGGUUCAGAGGCAGACAUACACUGUCCUUCAUUUU